GGGCGAAUUGUAGUUUAUAGAAGUGUUUUCUAGGAUGGCUCAGGUAUAGGUCCUUUGGAAAGAGGCGACAUAGAGGGUGAGAUCCCCGUCUGUGACCUGAAGUCCAUUCUUCUGUGAUACACUUUCAAAGAGUCGAGUUGUUUGGGAAUGCAGCUCAAAAUGGGUGGUAAAUACCAUCUAAAGCUAAAUAUUGGCGAGAGACCGAUAGCGAACAAGUACCGUGAGGGAAAGAUGAAAAGAACUUUGAAAAGAGAGUUAAACAGUACGUGAAAUUGUUAAAAGGGAAACGCUUGAAAUCAGUGUUGCAGC
rnacentral:rRNA from 1 species